rnacentral:rRNA from 1 species
ACACUUUAGUGAGAAGGUUGUUACUUGAAUAUUAAUAGCUACGGCCUUUAAAUUUAAAGAAUUUGGCGGAUUUUAGUCUAGUUAGAGGAACCUGUUUUAUAAACGAUGCGACACGAAAUAUCUUGCUUAUUUUUGUUCCGCAGCUUGUAUACCGUCAUUAUUAGAUAACUUUUAUUGAUUGAGUUAUUAAAAUCAAAGGUCUGAGUAUAUUAGAUCAAGGUGCAGCUUAUAAAUAAGUAAAAAUGGGUUACAAUAAAAUUUAUUUAUAACGGAGUAAGAGAUUUAAAUUGAU